rnacentral:rRNA from 1 species
UACGUAGGGUGCAAGCGUUGUCCGGAAUUAUUGGGCGUAAAGCGCGUGUAGGCGGGUCUUUAAGUCAGGGGUGAAAUGCCAAGGCUCAACCUUGGAACUGCCUUUGAUACUGGAGAUCUUGAGUCCGGGAGAGGUGAGUGGAAUUGCGAGUGUAGAGGUGAAAUUCGUAGAUAUUCGCAAGAACACCAGUGGCGAAGGCGGCUCACUGGCCCGGAACUGACGCUGAGACGCGAAAGCGUGGGGAGCAAACAGG